GCAGCCGCCGCGGUAAAACGGAGGGUGCAAGCGUUAAUCGGAAUUACUGGGCGUAAAGCGCACGCAGGCGGUCUGACAAGUCAGAUGUGAAAUCCCCGGGCUUAACCUGGGAACUGCAUUUGAAACUGUCAGGCUGGAGUCUUGUAGAGGGGGGUGGAAUUCCAGGUGUAGCGGUGAAAUGCGUAGAGAUCUGGAGGAAUACCGGUGGCGAAGGCGGCCCCCUGGACAAAGACUGACGCUCAGGUGCGAAAGCGUGGGGAGCAAACAGGAUUAGAUACCCCGGUAGUCCCUGUCUCUUAUAC
rnacentral:rRNA from 1 species